CCGCUUCCGACUCCGCCCCUAGCGGAAUCUAGUACCUGUACGAACUGACGAGAGCGAGAACACGAACCUCCCACUAAGUGUACAGUUGGUUCGACCCAAGAAGAAAGGCCCUGUGAGAAUAUAGGAACAAGGUGGCAAACCAGGAAGACAGUUCUCACCAGCAACCAACCCUGCUGGCACCUUGAUCUUGGACUUUCAACCUCUGGAAUUGUGAGAAAUAAGAAACAAAUUUCUGUUUUAUGCCAUCAAGUCUGUGGUAUCUUGUUGCGGCAGCCCAAGUAGAUUAAUAUGGGAGUCAUUGUAGAAAUGCUAAGCCCUGAGGCUGAGUGAGAUCUCCAACAGAGUGAGAACUGACAAAGAAGAGGGCAGGGCAAGGACAGAGACCCCGGAUCCAACAUUUACAGACAAGGAACCAACAAGGGAGUCUGAGAAGGAACAGCCAGUGAGGUAAGUGUUCUGGGAACCAAGUUAGGCCAACAUUUCAAUGGGGAGAGAAUGGGUGAUCUGUGUCAGAGGCUUCUGAGAGCUCAGGAAGAUGGGAACCUAGAAGUGAUUCAGCCCAGUGGAGGGCAUUGUCACUGUGACACAAAGAGUUUAGGUAGAAUGGUGGGGGCAAAAGCCUGACUAGAGUGGUAGUAAGAGAGAGUAGGAGAAGAUAAACAUACACACAUAUGUACAUGCAUAAAGAGAAAUGACAGCACUUAACAGCAGAAAGCCUGUAGCCUGUAAAAUGUAGAGAAAGAGGAAUUAGAAAUUUACCAUUUGGCAACCACCCUAGUAAUAAUUGUUUCAGA